AGAGUUUGAUCAUGGCUCAGAACGAACGCUGGCGGCGUGCCUAAUACAUGCAAGUCGAACGAGAAAAGGGCUUCGGCUCUUAGUAAAGUGGCAGACGGGUGAGUAAUACAUAGGUAAUCUACCUUCAAGAUGGGGAUAACCUUCCGAAAGGAGGGCUAAUACCGAGUGAGACCACAGUUGCUUCGGCAACAGGGGUUGAAGAUGGCCUCUAUUUAUAUGCUAUCGCUUGAAGAUGAGCUUAUGCACCAUUAGCUAGUUGGUAGGGUAACGGCCUACCAAGGCUACGAUGGUUAGCUGAUCUGAGAGGUUGAUCAGCCACACUGGAACUGAGACACGGUCCAGACUCCUACGGGAGGCAGCAGUAGGGAAUAUUGCGCAAUGGAGGAAACUCUGACGCAGCGACGCCGCGUGGGUGAUGAAGGCCUUCGGGUCGUAAAGCCCUGUCGGAAGGGAAGAAAAAUAUUUGAGAUAACAUCUCAGAUACUUGACGGUACCUUCAGAGGAAGCACCGGCUAACUACGUGCCAGCAGCCGCGGUAAUACGUAGGGUGCUAGCGUUGUUCGGAAUCAUUGGGCGUAAAGCGCGUGUAGGUCGUUAGUUAAGUCGGGUGUGAAAUCCCUGGGCUCAACCGAGGAAGUGCAUCCGAAACUAACUAGCUAGAGAAUGGUAGAGGAAGGUGGAAUUCCUAGUGUAGAGGUGAAAUUCGUAGAUAUUAGGAGGAAUACCGGUGGCGAAGGCGGCCUUCUGGACCAUUUCUGACACUGAGACGCGAAAGCGUGGGGAGCAAACAGGAUUAGAUACCCUAGUAGUCC
rnacentral:rRNA from 1 species